UUCUUAUUAGAUGAUGAUUGUCACGUGUCAUGUUUUGAUUGGAUGUCAACUCCAUGAAAGAUGAAAUGAAUUAUUGUUUUGAUUGAUCAAUCAGAACAUAACACGUGACAAACAUUAUCU
rfam:Glycine soja cultivar W05 scaffold1324_70, whole genome shotgun sequence.